AUUGGUUUAGAUCACGUUUAGAUGGCAUUUACGUCGAUCUAAACGUUUAGGAAUCUAAUCUAAACGUGUUCUGAAUAUUUAAUUUGCGUUGAAAAGCUAAAUCAAACAAUUUCCGUACGGAACUAACUAAAUUAAAUUAGUUUCUUACAAAAUGUGUCGGACAUUUUGAAUCUUUCAUUAUGAUUAAAAAUUAGAGUUUCUUAUUAAUCUUAAAUUAUGUAAUAAAGGUUUAGAAAAAAUAAAAGAAAUUUGUUUUUAGUAUUAUAUUGUGGCUAAUGAAGGAGUUAAAAAGUCCUUCCAGUCAGUUGCAACAACAAUUAAAGCAGCAGGAAACAGCCAAGUACACAUGCAAGUGAUUGUUAUGAGGAUUGCAAAACUUUUAAAUAUCAGAAACUGAAGAAAGCAUUCAUAAUCAGCAGAUAUCAAAAAAGCGCAAAAGUACUGAUUUUACAACUCUUUUAAAGUUGAGGAAGAAUUUUAUGUUAAUGUUAAUGCAAAAGGUACGAAUAUUGACAGGUUAGCUAAUUUGAUGUAACAAUAAACAUGAAAUAAAGUUUGUGAAGACCUUAGUGCCAAAAAUACUUGCAUGCAUUAUUCAUGCAUGCUGUAUUAUAAUAUAGCAUGCAUGCAUGAUGCAUUUAAGUAUAAAAAAAAGUUACAAAUGUUUAAUUAUACAAAAAGAUUAUGGAUGUGGUACUGCAAGUAUAUUCAAUUGAUUAUGCAAUUAAACCAUCACCACUUCCACAGCAACCUUGUCUCAAGCAUUAAAUCGUAUUCUAAGAUAUCUUUAUUCAAAUUAAGUGUGACUACUUUACCAAAAGACUCUAGAAUGGACCAAUCAACUAACCCAUCAGUACUUGCAAAGUCUCUUUUUCUGUAAGCCCAAAAAUUGAGUUCUAAAAUACCAUUAUCCACAUAACUACUUUAUCAAAGUACAAUCUAAUGGAUUGAUCAAAAAAGAGAUUGUAUGACUUCGGUAUCCGCAAUACGGUAUCGUGCAUUGAUUUCCAUCUUAGAAUGGCUCUCUUCCGUAUAGGUGGAAAUAGGAUAGGUUGUGUCCUUUUUUCUAAUUCUUAAGACGAAGAGGCUUAAUCGGUUCAAACAAAGAUGACGAUGAUCAUUAUGGAGCCGAUCAUGAUGACGAAUACGAUAAUGCAUAUAAUAAUAAAUAAAAUGUUUUUACUUGUAUCUUAGACUUAUAAAAAUAAAAAAUUAUUUGUUUAA